rnacentral:rRNA from 1 species
UGCCAGCAGCCGCGGUAAUACGAAGGGGGCUAGCGUUGUUCGGAAUCACUGGGCGUAAGGCGCACGUAGGCGGACUUUUAAGUCAGGGGUGAAAGCCCAUAGCUCAACUAUGGAAGUGCAGUCGAUACUGGCAAGCUCGAGUCCCGGAGAGGAUGAUGGAAUUCCCAGUGUAGAGGUGAAAUUCGUAGAUAUUGGGAGGAACACCGGUGGCGAAGGCGACCAUCUGGACGGGUACUGACGCUGAGACGCGAAAGCGUGGGGAGCAAACAGGAUUAGAUA